GGGAGAAGAAGUGAGAGGCAGUUUCGAAUGCCAGGCUCUGCCUGGUGUCAGGUAGGAGAGAAAGAUUCCAGGGCAGAGCAAUGGAAACAGCCCUGUGCUUCAACAGGCUAAAUACCAGAAGUGCCCCUAUGUGUGAGAAGAGUGCUUGGGGAGAAGGUUGCUAGAAGGAGAGCACACAGUUCUACAGCCACAGUGAUCAGAAGGUGAAACAGACGGUGAGAGACAAAAGAUCCAAAGUACCAUUUUCUGCUGCAGGAUGUAUAUAAGAAAAGGAAGAUGAGCAUGAGACAAAGCCAACUGACAAGUCUUGCUCUUAAGAUUCUAUUCACCUUAAAGAUGCAGACUGGGAAAGCUCUCUACUUUUGGAUGAAUUACCUAUUCAUUUAACGUGGAGAAGAAUGAAGAAGUGUUUUGUCUUGAUUCAGCACCACAAAGGCCUACU